rnacentral:tRNA from 1 species
GAACGUUAAAUAGAGGUUUCUACGCUCGGCUACGGACCGGGAAGGGUGUCGUUUUU